rnacentral:rRNA from 1 species
GGCCGCGGGAAUUCCUUUCAGGCCUAACACAUGCAAGUCGAGCGGUAGAGAGACGCUUGCUUCUCUUGAGAGCGGCGGACGGGUGAGUAAUGCCUAGGAAUCUGCCUGGUAGUGGGGGAUAACGUUCGGAAACGGACGCUAAUACCGCAUACGCCCUACGGGAGAAAGCAGGGGACCUUCGGGCCUUGCGCUAUCAGAUGAGCCUAGGUCGGAUUAGCUAGUUGGUGAGGUAAUGGCUCACCAAGGCUACGAUCCGUAACUGGUCUGAGAGGAUGAUCAGUCACACUGGAACUGAGACACGGUCCAGACUCCUACGGGAGGCAGCAGUGGGGAAUAUUGGACAAUGGGCGAAAGCCUGAUCCAGCCAUGCCGCGUGUGUGAAGAAGGUCUUCGGAUUGUAAAGCACUUUAAGUUGGGAGGAAGGGCAUUAACCUAAUACGUUAGUGUUUUGACGUUACCGACAGAAUAAGCACCGGCUAACUCUGUGCCAGCAGCCGCGGUAAUACAGAGGGUGCAAGCGUUAAUCGGAAUUACUGGGCGUAAAGCGCGCGUAGGUGGUUUGUUAAGUUGGAUGUGAAAUCCCCGGGCUCAACCUGGGAACUGCAUUCAAAACUGACUGACUAGAGUAUGGUAGAGGGUGGUGGAAUUUCCUGUGUAGCGGUGAAAUGCGUAGAUAUAGGAAGGAACACCAGUGGCGAAGGCGACCACCUGGACUAAUACUGACACUGAGGUGCGAAAGCGUGGGGAGCAAACAGGAU